rnacentral:rRNA from 1 species
UACGAAGGGGGCUAGCGUUGCUCGGAAUCACUGGGCGUAAAGCGCACGUAGGCGGCCAUUCAAGUCGGAGGUGAAAGCCCAGGGCUCAACCCUGGAAUUGCCUUCGAUACUGUUUGGCUAGAGACCGGAAGAGGUAAGUGGAACUGCGAGUGUAGAGGUGAAAUUCGUAGAUAUUCGCAAGAACACCAGUGGCGAAGGCGGCUUACUGGUCCGGUUCUGACGCUGAGGCGCGAAAGCGUGGGGAGCAAACAGG